UCACUGGUCCUCUGAACCAUCUGGUCCACCAGCAUCCAGUCUGUUGUCAUAGCAACACUUUACAAGGUGAAAGGAUUGUUCCACAGAUGCUGGUUUUGAUCCCGAAAGACUCUUGUUUGAGCAGUGAGGAGGAUUCUGUUCACGAUGACCUUUGACCCUGUAAACACACCUCAGACUGAGACGCAGUGGACCAGUCAGACUUUGGACUUUGAUGGUGACAUGAGGACACACCCUCUCUGAUGAAAGAUAAGAAGCUUCACUUCACUUCACUCCGUCUGAUGGAAGCUGAAGUGAAGCACGGAGAUCCUUUUCUACAGACCUGCUGAGGACAGAAGAGAGCUGCACACUGAGGAAGAUCAUGUCUCCAAGCUCAGUGAAGCUGUGAGACGUCUUCAAACUUCCCCAAUAUUCACAGAUUCAUCCAACUUGUGUCCACCAAGAGGACGCUGACUUCAUCAGAGGACAGAUGGAAGUCAAGAAGGACAUCCUCUACAUUUUAGAGGAGCUCGAAGAGAAGGAGUUCAAACGGUUCAAGUGGCACCUGAAGAACUAUUCAAGCCCAGACCAUCGAAAAAUCCCACCCUGUGACCUGGAGAACGCAGACAGGAUGGACACAGUGGACCUGAUGGUUCGGUGCUACGACACAGACUCGGUUCAGGUGGCCGUGAAGGUUUCGGAAGAGAUGCAAAAGAAUCAGGCUGAAAAAUUAUCCCAAAUUAACUCUGUGGGUAAGUUGUUAAAAAGGAACAAAGACAUCAGAUGCGUAUAAUAAAGAUACAACAGAAGUAAAGAUGAGGAAUGUGCUUCAUUAAUCCUCCUCAUCUCAGGAGGGAGGGGCUCUUCUGAAGCUCCUCCCCCUCUGAUGUAUGAACACUAAACGAGUGACAUUAAUGAUAUAAUUAACGUCAAUACCAUUCUUAAUAAAUGUUAUUAAUAAGAGGGGCACCACCCUGGGAGGAGGAUCAAAAACCAAACUAUAAACCAGUGAUCAUCAACUGGCCGUUCGAUCCGGCCCGCGACUGGAUUCUUAAGUUGCUCAUGUAUCCCUGUCACAUGUCACAUGAUGCGGAGAUGGUCAGCUGCCGCUUUGGGCUUACUUUGUUUUAAUAAAUCCAGAGUUCAUUGACGCGCUGCAGUGCUUCUCCCUCACUAAGCCAGCGCUCGUCAUUGUGGAGGAACAGGUCAUCAUGAGAAGCCUGGGAUUCCAGCACGGAUUUGUGGAACAGGAGGUGCUGCGAGCGUGAAGUUCCUCUGAUGUGGUUGAUCCUUGUCAUUGUUUCUCUAUCACCUCUUUGAGCUCCCCCACGUAGCUUUGU